rnacentral:rRNA from 1 species
GACGAACGCUGGCGGCGUGCUUAACACAUGCAAGUCGAACGGUGAAGCGCCUUCCUUUUUGGUGGGUGUGGAUGAGUGGCGAACGGGUGAGUAACACGUGAGUAACCUGCCCCCUUCUUCUGGAUAACCGCAUGAAAGUGUGGCUAAUACGGGAUAUUCUGGGUCUGUCGCAUGAUGGGUCUGGGAAAGAUAUUGUUUCGGUGGGGGAUGGGCUCGCGGCCUAUCAGCUUGUUGGUGGGGUGAUGGCCUACCAAGGCGGUGACGGGUAGCCGGCCUGAGAGGGUGGACGGUCACACUGGGACUGAGACACGGCCGAGACUCCUACGGGAGGUAGCAGUGGGGAAUAUUGCACAGUGGGCGCAAGCCUGAUGCAGCGACGCCGCGUGAGGGAUGGAGGCCUGCGGGUUGUGAACCUCUUUCGCCAGUGAAGCAGGCCUGCCUCGUUUGUGGGUGGGUUGACGGUAGCUGGAUAAGAAGCGCCGGCUAACUACGUG